GGAGAGCUCUCUAUCUGUGGUUUUCUAUAUUGUAAGAAAGCUACUUUGGGGGCUGCUGAGGAUGGCUAAGUGGGUGCAGGCAUUGGCUGUCAAGCUUGAUCUGAGUCUGAUCCCUGUGAUCUGGAGGGUGGAAGGAGAGCACAAAUUCUACAGGGUGUCCUUCAGCCUCCAUCUGCACACCAUGGCACAUUCGCACCUCGCUCCCAAAUAAAUACAGUACUUAAAAAAUAUAUAAAAGUCAGGCUUGGUGACACACGCCUUUAAUUCCAGCAUUCAGGAGACAGGCAGUCAGAUUGCUAAUGUUUUCUAGUUGAGGGCAUCCUGAUCUACAAAGUGAGUUCCAGGACAGCCAGGGCUGCACAGAGAAAUCUUGUCUCAAACAGAACAGAACAAAACCCCCAAAUUUAAGAAAUCUUCUUUUUUAAUUUAAGAGGAAUUUUAGUAUAAAAUAUAGAGUUAAAUCUUUAGGAUAGAAGUUAUUGAAAGAGAGAACUGGCUGCAAAAUUCUUCCAGUGUCUGCUAUUCCUGGUUAGCUAGUCCUUGGGUGCCCAGAUGGAUCCGGUGAUGGGACAGGUGAUACCCUCCCCAGGUGGAGCCCUGUUCAGGCGGUGUUGCUGUCCAGGUGGGACCCUGCCCAGGUGGGGCCCUGCCCAGGUGGGAGUACUGCCCAGGUGGGGUCCUGCCCCAGUGGAGGAGGAGGGCAUCCAUCCCUGAAAAGACAGUCAGUAAAUAGCCAGUUGCAACUGAGAACAGUCUCAUAAAGGAAAGCACGGUUGUUGGAAGGAAAACGUGAGUCUCAGUGAGUGAGUGGGCUGUGGACUGAUGAAGGAGCUGGAGCUGUGUCAGACUUGGAAAAGGCUGCUGCAAUUUUCUUUGUAGAGGAAUUUUAAUCCAGCAACAGGGCUGCUCUGGCAAGUGAUCAUCAUAUCCAAAGACCUUCUAGGUCUGUGUGAUCUGGCUGGAAUACAGACACACCUCUAAUCCCAGGAGUCAGAGGCAAGCAGAUCUCUGAGUUGAAGGCCAGCUUGGGACAGAGAAAGUUGCUUGUAAAGAAAAGCUUAGGUCCAGGCUUGGCAGUACUUGCUUUUAAUCCUAGCACUCAGGAGACAGAGUCAUUCAGGUCUCUGAGUUCAGUCAGUCAGUUGAGUGCAGUGCAGUGGAGCUGAGUCAGGGAGUUGGGGUCAGUGCAGUGAGUGCAGUGCAAACUAUUAAUCUAAGAACUCCAAGAGCUUCCAGCCACCAGAAGCUAAACAGAGGCAAGAAACAGAUCCAUCUUUGAACUUACAGCACCUACAAUAUACCCUAUCACUAAUACAGCCUCAAGACACCCUUUCUCCCAACCUCCCUUCCUGCAAUAAUGAUCAUGGUCAAGUUGGGCCUUCCAUGUUCUAGAAACCCUGAUGGGUUGUGGUCAGAGAUCUCAAUACUGAAACAUACUUAAUGAGGACUAGACAGCUUUGUGGAGGGUCCACAGCCUCACCUUGUACAUUCUCUCAGUGAUGAAGGAAUUGUCCCGGAGCGCUUCGAAGAAGGGGAAUGGCUUGUUGAUGGCAUAGGCGAUGUUCACCUUCAUGUAUAUGAAAUGCUGGAGAAGAGCCUUUUCCAAGGCUUUGGUCAGAGUGAACAUCCUAUAAAAAGAGGCAGGCUGAGAAGACAGGCAAAAGUUCUCAGGAGCAUGGGGAGUGGCUCUCUGCAUAAAAUGGAUUCUCAAAGGUAGACACCCUAGUCUUCAAGCAUCCCUUAGCUGUCUACAGAGCAAAGUCUUGCUAAAAGAUCCAUUGGUAGAGGAGAUAAAGGCAGUGCCCAGAAACCACAGAGGCUGAGAAGGACAGACAAUAGCAUAUAACCAUCCUGAAAGGGAUUUUAAAACAUAAAGUGGGUUUUUAAAACAUCUCUUCUUCACUGAGUAUGUCCUAUGUCCAGCUUUUGUUCCAAGGAUUUCAUAGGUAGUAACUUACUGGAGUUCACAAAGCAUUGCAAGGUGGUCACUGUCAUCACAACUACCUAACUGUGGUGAGCUCUAAUGCAGACAGGGGUGAGGUAAGCGAUCCUCAUGCUAGAUUAUACAAUCUGGAGGGGGCUGAGUACUAAUCGAAUCUUGACAUUCUAGAUGCUGGUUUACAGUUGAGAAAGUGCUUGGCCACAGCCAGAGUGUAUGUAUAGAGAGAGUUGAAUAUAUAUGAGCUGGCUUAGAACAGAUCACCUGCAGUGUAGCAGAGCACUAUCUCAUACCAAUGCUCAUGAAAAAGAGACCACCCAACAUGUAGAGCUAGAAAGCUGGUAAUAUUUAGACACUGAAAAAUCACUCACAACACUUUGACGCAAGCAGACAACACAUGAAUAAAAUCAGGAAGGAUAUGAAAAAUAGGAUUGGUCAAAGUCAACGCUUGGUUUUAUGACCCCAUUUCAUUCUUCAGGAUGGACCUGGGUCUUCUUAUGGAAUGUUUCUAAAAAUCGACUGCUUCUGGAUCAUGAGAAAAUAACCAGUGAGUUAUAACAGAAAACUUCCAGGUGGCAAACUGUUGUAAGAAGGCAGGCCCUAGUAAACCUUUUGAUCACAGAGGGGGCGCUUUUGUUGUUGAUUGGCAGUAGUGGGGAUGGAGUCCAGGACCUGUGCAUCUUAGGCAAGUGCCCUAUCCCUGAGCUGCAUCCCAGCUAGCAACACAGUUCUGUUUAUUUGUUUGCUAAUCUUAAACACAAAGAAGGCAAAGGUCCCCCUUUCCUCUUUUUUAAAACAGAAUAUUAAAUAUUAAAGAGUAUUUCCAAAGAGU
rnacentral:lncRNA from 1 species